rnacentral:tRNA from 1 species
GCGGGUGUGGCGGAAUUGGCAGACGCGCCAGAUUUAGGAUCUGGUGUCGAGAGACAUCCCGGUUCGAGUCCGGGCACCCGCA